ACUUCCAACCCCUGCGAUGAUCUCCGAGCCAACGAAUGUCCAGAAGGCUAUUUCCGUAGAUGCCGCAGUGACAUCAACGGUUGUAGUUGCCGGUGCGAUGUUUAGCAGCAACCAAUGCCCAGGCAAGCUGUGAUCAUAUUCACUAUAUCAUUUUAGUUCAAUAGGAAAAUUGCUUCGACCGGCUCAUAUUAGCGGCGGCUUCACUUAACUCUCUUCAACUGGUGUGAUAGGGGAUGACUUUUUAAAAAAGUUUACUUACAGUCUUUAAUAAAGAAGCUGAGCUUUUUUUCAGA